rnacentral:lncRNA from 1 species
AUAUAAUCCACUCUCUCAUACAUGAUCAUGGAUGAAAAUGGGAUCCGCAGGCCGAACUUCCCUCUUCAGCUCCUAGAAAAGAAGGAACAACCUCGUUCCGACCCUGCCGACGUCGACACCAGCUCCAAACCAACCUUGGAACCUCCCUCCAAGAAACCUCCACCUAAGAGGACUUCGACCAAGGACCGGCACACCAAAGUGGAAGGCCGAGGCCGUCGCAUCCGCAUGCCGGCUACGUGUGCUGCUAGGGUUUUCCAGCUAACAAGGGAGCUUGGUCACAAAUCAGAUGGUGAAACCAUUGAGUGGUUGCUCCAACAAGCUGAGCCUGCGGUUUUUGCUGCCACGGGGACAGGUACUAUCCCUGCAAAUUUCACGUCCCUUAAUAUUUCACUAAGAAGUUCAGGUUCUAGCAUGUCGGCUUCACACUUAAGGAACACUUAUUUCAAUCCAAAUUUUACCACACAACAAUUGAGGACGAGGAGUGAAUGGGAUCAAAGGAAUGUCCUUGACGAUUCAUCUCAACAACAACAACAGCAACGAAGGGUUUUAUUUCCUGGUGUUGCUUUAUCAUCUGAAGAUUCAUUGACCUUUCCUGGUACUAGUAGCACUACUUUGAACGCUUUCUUGCAAGCAAAGCAAGAGAUUCGGGACGCCGAGGCCGCGGAUACUAGUAUAGGGAAGAGGAGGAGGCCGGAGCAGCAAGAAUCGCCACAAAAUCAGGUGGGAAGUUACUUGAUACAAUCUAAUACGGGUUCGAUUCCGACAAGUCAUAAUCCGAUCCCGGCGACAUUUUGGAUCGGCAACCAAGUCAUCAGUGGGAGUGGCACUGGGGAUCCCAUGUGGACAUUUCCUUCAACAAAUAACACUAAUAUGUAUAGGGGUACUAUGUCUAGUGGGGUGCAUUUUAUGAAUUUAGCCGCUCCAAUGGCUCUCCUCCCUGCCCAACAAUUUGGUUCCGGAAUCGGUGCCGGUGGCAGCUCAGUUACAGACACUCAUUUAAGUAUGCUGGCGUCACUAAACGCUUAUAGACCAGUUCCGGGUAUUGGUGUUUCCGAGCCUCCGGCCGGAGGAUCACAUCAACACCACGGUGGAGAAAAUAGGCAUGAUUCAACUAGCUAGUGUUCAACAAGUGUAUGGCUUUCAUGCUUUAUUCUUUUUAUUGGUUUUUCUUAAAAUAAAAAAGACUAAAAUACAUUUAGAUAAUAUAAUUUAUUUUAAUUAUGGAUGAACAUUUUUAUUGAUACCAAUUCAAUUAUAAACUUAAAUAAUAAUAUAAAUUAAUGAUAUAUAUAAAUUCAAUCCGACUCAGUUGGCAUUUUAUUAGCCAACAGCAGCACCUAGUAGGUCUUAAAGUUGUUUUCUAAAUCAAAAUUUUUGUUGUACAAAAUAUUCUACUCAAUUAGGCCUAACAUUUAUUUGCAUUUGAAUUUUCUUCUCUAUAUAUUUGCUUGACUUGGCCAUUGCAUUUUUGUACACAAAAUUUUUAGAGUCAAUUUCGAAGGCGUUUCAAAAGGGUUUUUUUGUUUUUAAAAAGAAAUAUAUAUGAACAAAAGAAAAAAGAGUAUAAGGUAGAGAAGUCAUAGGAAAAAGUCUUAAAAGAGAAAAUGACCCACUCCUCUUCUUUCAUACAGCCAUGGAUGAUGGUGGAAUUUUCUUUAUUGGCUUUAGCCAGCCUUUUUCUUCCCAAACAGUUAAUCUGUCAAUUUUUUAAAUCAAAUUUUUUAUUAAUUAAGAUAAAGUAACUUUUAGUUGUUGGAUUGGAAGUUUUUUCCUAUCUUGCUCCUUUUCAAUUUUUUUAGUCUAUAUUAGUAUUAAAAUUUUGCAGUUUUUUUAAUUUGGUACUGGCAUUUGGAUUUAGCUAAGGUAUGAUGAUGUGCCACUUUGAGAUUAAGCGAUGGUUUGGUACAAUCCCAGAGUGUUAUAUCAUCGUACUUAACGGAAUCCAAGUUCAUGGGCCAAGUUAGGAAAAGUUACCAAAUUCUAGGACUAUUGUGGAGUGUGUACAAAAGAAGUUCAAGGACCAAAUUGAAAAAAAAUUGCAACAUUUUUAGUCCACAUUAGUCUUGAAACUUUGUACCUUUCUCAAUUUGGUCCAUGCACUUAGAUUUUGUUAAGACAUGAUGACGUAACACUUUGAGAUUAUACCAUAUUAUCACUUGAUUUUUUUAAAAAAAGAAAUAAAAAUGUUAUAAUAUUUAAUAUUUUAUUUAGAUUUAAUAUAAGUUUUUAAAUUUUCAAAUGAUGAUUUGAUAUAAAUAUCAUAGUGUCACAUCAUCAUGCUGGUGGAUGAAAUUGAAAAAAAAAAACCAAAAUCCAAAACAAUUAUGGAUGAAAGAAAUGAAAGUUGAUAUAAUUGGGAGGAAGCCAAGCUGCGAUUCCUUCUAAUUUUAUUACUAUGCUUCUAAGACUUUCUCACUGCUAUUUGAAUAUAAAAUUUCAAAUACAUUACAAAUUAUACAAAAAUUUAUAAUCACAUUUAAUAAUUAUAUUCAUUUGUCAUUCCACUAUUCAAACACAGCAAAAAUAUUAUUACUAUUAUUAUAAUAUCUACACCCUUAAAAUAGGAGGAUAAUGCGCUUGAGCGUACUUGAACCCGCAUCCUCCCGCACUCAUAACAAUAUCAAUACCAAUUGAAUUAAAACUUAAUAAAAUAAAAUAUAAAAUUUCAAAAAAAUUCUGAAAUAUUCUCAUUUAUGAACAGAUGUUAAAAGGGUAACAUCUUAUCCGAUUGUUGUUAAUGAUAUUCAAAGAAAGAGAGCGGCCAGCUUGACCCAGAAAGGGAAGAAAUUAAGGGGGUGAUUUACAACUAACAUUCCGGUUAAAUAAUUAGACACAAAAAUGGAGGGUAAGCCAUCAGCAUCACCGGCAAAAGAUGGCAAGCCACGUGAUCUCUUCCCCAAUGGGGGACUAUUUUCCACUCAUAUAUUUAUAAACUUUGUUUGGAAUUUAGGCAAAAUUUGAUUUAAGAGAAAUUUAAAAAAAAAAAAAAACAAAUUCUUUUACAUAAUUAAAUUUAAUAAAUUUAAGCGGAAGAGGAACACCCACAUAGGAUUUCUUCUAUUACCCAAAUAAAAAUAAAAAAACACUUUGUAUUGAAAUGAAGAUGAUUGCAUGUUUUUGUACAUCACUGCUGUGGUCCAAAUCCCAUUAUUAUUGGUCCAAGAGUUAAUGCUAAAAUUGCUUAGAUCAAAUGCAAAAUAGUAAUAAUAUCAAUAAUUUGAUGAAUGAAAAGAUAAAACGAUGUGAGAUAUACUGCAUAUGAGACCCUUUAUUUAUUUUUACAAUCGGCUUGCCAGAAAAUAUUAAUUUUAAAUUAUUUUAAAAAAGGUAAUAUUGAAUAGAAUUUAUACAACUUCCCUUGUCCAUGCGUACACCCUCAACUCUUAUUAUUACUUACAUAAAAUAUAACAUUUGUAAAGUUUCAGAUAAAAAAAGUAUUAAUUCUUCUAUGUGGUGUUCAUCAGGACAACUUUAACAUUAUUGGUUUCAUAUCAAGAAUCAUUGUGCUGUAUGAUUUUCUUUUAACAAGGCUUCAACUCAAGAGUGAUUAGGAUAAAAUUAAAAAUUUUGGAAGAUAAAGCUAAAGAAUUAUUCAUUUAACAUAAAAGCUAAAAAUAAUUAAAAUUUAAGAGGACUAAAAAAGAAUUAAACCAUAUAUCCAAAGAGGCAAAUGCCACUGUCUGCGUACACACCAUUGUUUUGUUACAUGCAUGUUAAGGUGUAGGGAACUUGAAAUGACAAUGUACUGGGGUUUUUUUCCCUUCAAAAUCACGAAGAUUUAGUAAAACAAAAAAGAAAUGAAAAAGUUAAAACAAGAAAGGUGACAUAUUAAGGAAGGGUCAUAAUCAAGAGGAAGAAGGGUGAUUAGUGGAGAUUUAGAGGGAAAAAAUGAUUAGAGAAGAUGGAAUUAUGAGAUAGUUAGGUAUGUUGGUUGUUGAAAUAGAUUUUGGAAGUCGCUAUAUUUUAGGCAAUGUGCUUGUUUUUGUUCCCUUUUAAGCUACACUUCGGCCUGUUAGGCACAUGGGUUAGACGUGCUAUGCCUUCUCUCUCAUUCCUCUUUGCUGGUGGGUCUUUCUUAUGUGUACUAUAUGUAUACAUAUACACAUAUGGUAUAAUUCAAGUUGUUUUAUUCAUGCUUACGGAUGAAUUAUAAAAAUAUUAGUCGUAUAAAAAUUUACAUAUAAGUAUGUAAAAUUAGUUAAGUUUUACACUAGUAUGAGUAAAUAUAUUGAUUGCUCGAAAAAAAGAAGAAGGGAUUUUAGAUAUUAAGACUAGAACUCUCUUUUUAUGCCAAAUUAAAGUGUAAUGAUUAAAUUUAAAGUUUGAACAUACUAGAGGGACCAAAACGAUAAUUUAUUGAAUAAAAGUUUUAGGUUAAUUUUUUUUAACCAGAUUUUCUUUUUUAGUUAGAGUGUGCUUAGACACCACAAAAUAAUUGGAUAAAACUAUAAUUACUAAACUAGUAAUUGCAUCCUCUUAUAAUUACAAAGAAUUCUAAUUCUAAUUCUUUAGACGUAUUUGAUUGACAAUGCGUAAUUACAUUAUAUUUAUCUAUGUUAUCCGAAUGAUUUUUCGUUCUUUUUACUAUUAUGUCCCAACAAAAUUUGGCAUAAAAGAAAAGUUUAUAUUCUUUCACCUUAUCUAACACCACAUUCCUCAUGCACAACGUUCAAUUGGUCGGAAGAUUUAGACUAUUGAUCUUAUGAAAUGUUCCCCUGCUCCUACAAAACUUGAAAAUAAAUAGAGAUGAAAGCCUUUAAUGGAAAAUGGAAUAAAAGGCAUAUUUUGGGUAUAUAAGCUUUUUAAACAAUACUUUCAAGGACCACACACACACAUAUAUAAUAUUGCAGACUGUAUGGCUCACAUGUUCAAAGAUGGAGACCUGAAAAGUGUUGGGUAUUGACUCAGAAAUCUACUGAAAGAUUUUUCAUCACGUAUCCUUCACUCUCAUCCCCAAUAAACGGAUUUUCUUCUUGGAAGAGUUUUUAAGAAAAACCAUUAACAAGUAAAGGAAUUAUUUAGAGGUAAACUUUAGUUUUAAAAUUAAGGCAAUGAUUACAAGAAUGGAAUGGGGACCACUUUAUUAUAUCUAAAUAAUUUGCCUUUCCCUUUUGUAUAAUUUAACGAUGGAGAGGGAGUGAUUGAGGUUUUUUGAGUAAGGGGACGCGGGGCCCACCACUGUCUUUAUGGAUUGAAUGAUAAAAGAGCACCGCACGUGGAGUUUGAAUCAAGGGACUAUCCAACCACAAUAAUAUGAUUUUAUUUUAUUUCACAAGAAAUAUAGAAAAGAGAAAAUUACAAAGAGGUCCUCAAUGAAACGAAUUAUUUCCCAUCCGAAAAAAGUCACUGCUUUUCUUUCAUAGCCCACCCUCAUAAUUCUCACUCAUUGUACUUGUUGCUUAAAGCUUGCCCUCUUCCCCUUAUCCCCUCUCUCUCUUUGGUCUGUGCAGAGAUAUGAAAACCAACUCAGCAGCUUCAAUCUUCCCCAUCUAAAGGGAAUUCCAAGCUACACAACACAACAUCAUAUAGCAAAAAUGAAAGAGACCCACUAGGCCAUCAAAGUCACUGAAUUGAGGGUCACCUUCAGAUCAUGUACUAGGACCAAAAAGAUAUAAUCCCACUCUCUCAUACAUGAUCAUGGAUGAAAAUGGGAUCCGCAGGCCGAACUUCCCUCUUCAGCUCCUAGAAAAGAAGGAACAACCUCGUUCCGACCCUGCCGACGUCGACACCAGCUCCAAACCAACCUUGGAACCUCCCUCCAAGAAACCUCCACCUAAGAGGACUUCGACCAAGGACCGGCACACCAAAGUGGAAGGCCGAGGCCGUCGCAUCCGCAUGCCGGCUACGUGUGCUGCUAGGGUUUUCCAGCUAACAAGGGAGCUUGGUCACAAAUCAGAUGGUGAAACCAUUGAGUGGUUGCUCC